AGAUAAAGAAGUGGGGGCUCAGAGCAGUCACGAUUAACAUGCCCCAAGUUAUUCGUCAGUGAAGCGGAAAUUGUGGUGUUCUUGUUUUUUGUGGGUCAGGAGAUCAGAAAUGGUUCCAUUUCAAGGUCUCUCACACGGCUGCAAUCAAGAUGUUGGCAUGGCUGGGGUCUCAUCUGAAGGCUGGAGUGGAGAAGAAUCUACUUCCAAACUUAUGUGGUAGUUGGAAGAAUUUAGUUCCUCAAGGCUGCUAAACUGAUGGCCUGUGUUCCUUGCCUCUGGGAUGGUAGCUUGCUUCAACCAAGUGUGCAAGCAGAGAAGACAGAGAGAGUCCGCUAGCAAGACAGAAGCCACAAUCUCUUGUAAUCUAUCAUUUUUGCUGUAUUCUACUGGUUAAAAAUAACUCAUUAGGUUAAGCCUACUGGCUCUCAAGGGGAAGAGAUUAUACAAAGGCAUGAAUUUCUGGAGGAGGGAAUGAGGGCAAAGAAUUCUGAGAAGUCUGUCUUCCACAAUCUGAAGAACUUCUAGAAAGUAGGAGGAAGCGAUAUUGCUUAGGGAUGGACAACUUGGCACUGGUUGUGUUCCAAGUGAGGUAACCUUGUUCCCAAGAAUAAAGAGAACCAGAUGUCUGUAAAUGUUUCCCUGAACUGAAAUGCAGAUUGUUGUAUGUUCACCUGAAAUGAAUGGUGUAAGCUGAAUAUAAGAUUUUUGACAAAAUAAAAAUUUUGCUGUGUUCUCAGA